UACGUAGGGUGCAAGCGUUAAUCGGAAUUACUGGGCGUAAAGCGUGCGCAGGCGGUUAUGCAAGACAGAUGUGAAAUCCCCGGGCUUAACCUGGGAACUGCAUUUGUGACUGCAUAGCUGGAGUACGGUAGAGGGGGAUGGAAUUCCGCGUGUAGCAGUGAAAUGCGUAGAUAUGUGGAGGAAUACCGAUGGCGAAGGCAGCCCCCUGGGAUAACACUGACGCUCAUGCACGAAAGCGUGGGGAGCAAACAGG
rnacentral:rRNA from 1 species